rnacentral:rRNA from 1 species
UUUACGGAGAGUUUGAUUCUGGCUCAGAACGAACGCUGGCGGCGUGUUUAAGACAUGCAAGUCGUACGGAGUAACAUGAGUAGCAAUACAAGUGUUGCUCAGUGGCGCACGGGUGCGUAACACGUGAGUUACAUGCCCUGCAGAGGGGGAUAGCCCAGGGAAACUUGGAUUAAUACCCCAUGGUCCCAGCAC